AGAGUUUGAUCCUGGCUCAGAGUGAACGCUGGCGGCAGGCCUAACACAUGCAAGUCGAACGGCAGCACAGCAGUAGCAAUACUGUGGGUGGCGAGUGGCGGACGGGUGAGGAAUACAUCGGAAUCUACCUUGUCGUGGGGGAUAACGUAGGGAAACUUACGCUAAUACCGCAUACGAACUAUGGUUGAAAGCGGCGGACCGCAAGGCGUCGCGCGAUUGGAUGAGCCGAUGUCCGAUUAGCUAGUUGGCGGGGUAAAGGCCCACCAAGGCGACGAUCGGUAGCUGGUCUGAGAGGAUGAUCAGCCACACUGGAACUGAGACACGGUCCAGACUCCUACGGGAGGCAGCAGUGGGGAAUAUUGGACAAUGGGGGCAACCCUGAUCCAGCCAUGCCGCGUGUGUGAAGAAGGCCUUCGGGUUGUAAAGCACUUUUGUCCGGAAAGAAAAGCGCUGGGUUAAUACCCUGGUGUUAUGACGGUACCGGAAGAAUAAGCACCGGCUAACUUCGUGCCAGCAGCCGCGGUAAUACGAAGGGUGCAAGCGUUACUCGGAAUUACUGGGCGUAAAGCGUGCGUAGGUGGUUCGUUAAGUCUGUCGUGAAAGCCCCGGGCUCAACCUGGGAAUGGCGAUGGAUACUGGCGGGCUAGAGUGCGGUAGAGGAGAGUGGAAUUCCCGGUGUAGCAGUGAAAUGCGUAGAGAUCGGGAGGAACAUCAGUUGCGAAGGCGGCUCUCUGGACCAGCACUGACACUGAGGCACGAAAGCGUGGGGAGCAAACAGGAUUAGAUACCCNNGUAGUCC
rnacentral:rRNA from 1 species